UAUUAUUUUGGAAAUUAAAUAUGCAUUUAUAUGCUGCAUAAUAUGCUGCACUCCCAAAAAUUGUUACUACAAAUUGUUCAGAAGUUUUUUCCUGUAUGGUGAAUAACUACUUUGUGCGCAUGUUCUGUAAGAAAUCAGUUUCGGAAAGGAACCCCACCCCCACUUCUUUGCCAUAACUAUCCAACUUACUACAGAUAUAAAAUGUUUUAUUUAUUUACUUAUUUACCCAAAUGCUGGGAUGAGGUUGUUGAGUCAUUUUUGGAUUAUUUUUUCAGUGUUGGGUAGUUUUUGUGUUGUUGUUCCCCCGCCCCUCCCCCCUACUGAGCGCGGGCAUUUUCGUUCUCUUCAGGGGAGAGCAGUUCUGGUGCAUUUCUUCGCCGAAAUACAGGUUAUGGAGUCUGUCACAGCAUCUUUCGGCAAUGAGUGAAACACACGGCGGCGGUCCGAAGUUAGCAAUUUCUCCGCCGAACACGAGCCCAGCUCCUGCACGAGAUCCAGCACCGCUACCCUAUGGAAACGGGAUAAAAGGGGCUGGUUGAUUACACUUGAAUUGCUUUGAAAUGCAAAUAUUGUGUACAUGUCAAAAUUAAAAUGGAAUAAAAUAUUGUGAA